AGAGUAUAGCUCAGUGGUAGAGCACAUGGUUAGCAUACAUGAGGUUCUGGGUUCAAUCCCCAGUACCUCCA
rnacentral:tRNA from 1 species